rnacentral:misc_RNA from 1 species
AAGGAUCAUUAUUGAAUAAAACUGGGUUGGGCUGUUGCUGAUCCUCCGGGAUAUGUGCACGCCUAGCACCAUCUUUUACCACCUGUGCACCUUUUGUAGACCAUGGAAUUAUCUCUCGAGGCCUAACCUCGGUUUGAGGGUUUGCUGUGCUUCCAUGCCAGCUUCCCUUGCAGUUCCCGGUCUAUGUACUUUUUCAUAUACACCGCAUGUCACAGAAUGUAAUUGAUAUAGGCUUCACUGCCUUUAAAUCUAUACAACUUUCAACAACGGAUCUCUUGGCUCUC